UACGAAGGGUGCAAACGUUGCUCGGAAUUAUUGGGCGUAAAGCGCACGUAGGCGGCUUGGCAAGUGGAUGGUGAAAUCCCUCGGCUUAACCGAGGAACUGCCGUCCAAACUGCUUCGCUUGAGACCGGGAGAGGUGAGUGGAAUUCCCAGUGUAGCGGUGAAAUGCGUAGAUAUUGGGAGGAACACCAGUGGCGAAGGCGGCUCACUGGACCGGUACUGACGCUGAUGCGCGAAAGCGUGGGGAGCAAACGGG
rnacentral:rRNA from 1 species